rnacentral:rRNA from 1 species
CAUGCAAGUCGAACGGAAGUUUAAGCAAUUAAACUUUAGUGGCGAACGGGUGAGUAACGCGUAAGCAAUCUGCCCCUAAGACGAGGAUAACAGUUGGAAACGACUGCUAAGACUGGAUAGGAGACAAGAAGGCAUCUUUUUGUUUUUAAAAGACCUAGCAAUAGGUAUGCUUAGGGAGGAGCUUGCGUCACAUUAGUUAGUUGGUGGGGUAAAGGCCUACCAAGACUAUGAUGUGUAGCCGGGCUGAGAGGUUGAACGGCCACAUUGGGACUGAGACACGGCCCAAACUCCUACGGGAGGCAGCAGUAGGGAAUUUUCGGCAAUGGAGGAAACUCUGACCGAGCAACGCCGCGUGAACGAUGAAGUAUUUCGGUACGUAAAGUUCUUUUAUUAGGGAAGAAUAAAUGAUGGAAAAAUCAUUCUGACGGUACCUAAUGAAUAAGCCCCGGCUAACUAUGUGCCAGCAGCCGCGGUAAUACAUAGGGGGCAAGCGUUAUCCGGAAUUAUUGGGCGUAAAGGGUGCGUAGGCGGUUAAAUAAGUUUAUGGUCUAAGUGCAAUGCUUAACAUUGUGAUGCUAUAAAAACUGUUUAGCUAGAGUAAGAUAGAGGCAAGUGGAAUUCCAUGUGUAGUGGUAAAAUGCGUAAAUAUAUGGAGGAACACCAGUAGCGAAGGCGGCUUGCUGGGUCUUUACUGACGCUGAGGCACGAAAGCGUGGGGAGCAAACAGGAUUAGAUACCCUGGUAGUCCACGCCGUAAACGAUGAGUACUAAAUGUUGGGUAAAACCAGUGUUGAAGUUAACACAUUAAGUACUCCGCCUGAGUAGUACGUACGCAAGUAUGAAACUUAAAGGAAUUGACGGGACUCCGCACAAGCGGUGGAUCAUGUUGUUUAAUUCGAAGGUACCCGAAAAACCUCACCAGGUCUUGACAUGCUUCUGCAAAGCUGUAGAAACACAGUGGAGGUUAUCAGUUGCACAGGUGGUGCAUGGUUGUCGUCAGCUCGUGUCGUGAGAUGUUGGGUUAAGUCCCGCAACGAGCGCAACCCUUAUUGUUAGUUGCCAGCACGUAAUGGUGGGGACUUUAGCAAGACUGCCAGUGAUAAAUUGGAGGAAGGUGGGGACGACGUCAAAUCAUCAUGCCCCUUAUGACCUGGGCUACAAACGUGAUACAAUGGCUGUUACAAAGGGUAGCUGAAACGCAAGUUUUUGGCGAAUCUCAAAAAAACAGUCUCAGUUCGGAUUGAAGUCUGCAACUCGACUUCAUGAAGUUGGAAUCGCUAGUAAUCGCGAAUCAGCAUGUCGCGGUGAAUACGUUCUCGGGGUUUGUACACACCGCCCGUCAAACCACGAAAGUUGGCAAUACCCAAAGCCGGUGGCCUAACUUCGCAAGAAGAGGGAACCGUCUAAGGUAGGGUCGAUGAUUGGGGUUAAG